GGGAUAAUACCAAAAAUGAGCUUCCUCUGACUUUGAGCCCAAUGUCCAGGCGGUCCAUUAUCCGUACCUUCCUCGAGAGCCCCAUCUGCCCCCCCUUUAAUGGGGGGGCAAAGGUCAAAUGAGAGGAGAUGGAAAGUCAUUCUGACUGCAUCCCAUCAUAUAGAGCUAUGUGGCACGCAGUCAAUCAGGAGAGGCUACAUGAUGUAGGUUUACCCAGUGCGUAGGUUACAAGUGGAAUGAUGGCUUGAGAUGGUGUACCCUAACUUGACUUAUACAGACAAGAAGCCAUAAUUAGUGUACUUUGAUCUGCACUUUAGAUGGAGGGCCAUUGUCCGGUAUGCCGAAGUCUGAGAGCUGGUGGACACCCUUGUUGCUAGAUAGUGCCGGUCAUGAGGAUUGGCCAAUCCAUCGGGAUCAACCCCUUCAUUAACUAAUAGCGGCAUGGAUCGGUAAUCGGAGAGGGGAAUGCUAGGAAAUCUCCCCAGAAUGCAUCAUUCGAAGUCAGCAGGG
rnacentral:lncRNA from 1 species